GACGAACGCUGGCGGCGUGCUUAACACAUGCAAGUCGAACGGUAAGGCCCUUCGGGGUACACGAGUGGCGAACGGGUGAGUAACACGUGGGUGAUCUGCCCUGCACUUCGGGAUAAGCCUGGGAAACUGGGUCUAAUACCGGAUAGGACCCUGGGAUGCAUGUCCUGGGGUGGAAAGCUUUGGCGGUGUGGGAUGGGCCCGCGGCCUAUCAGCUUGUUGGUGGGGUGAUGGCCUACCAAGGCGACGACGGGUAGCCGGCCUGAGGGGGUGACCGGCCACACUUGGACUGAGAUACGGCCCAGACUCCUACGGGAGGCAGCAGUGGGGAAUAUUGCACAAUGGGCGCAAGCCUGAUGCAGCGACGCCGCGUGAGGGAUGACGGCCUUCGGGUUGUAAACCUCUUUCAGCACCGACGAAGCGCAAGUGACGGUAGGUGCAGAAGAAGGACCGGCCAACUACGUGCCAGCCGCCGCGGUAA
rnacentral:rRNA from 1 species